AACGAACGCUGGCGGCAUGCCUAACACAUGCAAGUCGAACGAGACCUUCGGGUCUAGUGGCGCACGGGUGCGUAACGCGUGGGAACCUGCCCUUAGGUUCGGAAUAACUCCCCGAAAGGGGUGCUAAUACCGGAUAAUGUCUUCGGACCACAGAUUUAUCGCCUUUGGAUGGGCCCGCGUUGGAUUAGCUAGUUGGUAGGGUAAAAGCCUACCAAGGCGACGAUCCAUAGCUGGUCUGAGAGGAUGAUCAGCCACACUGGGACUGAGACACGGCCCAGACUCCUACGGGAGGCAGCAGUGGGGAAUAUUGGACAAUGGGCGAAAGCCUGAUCCAGCAAGGCCGCGUGAGUGAUGAAGGCCGUAGGGUUGUAAAGCUCUUUUACCCGGGAUGAUAAUGACAGUACCGGGAGAAUAAGCUCCGGCUAACUCCGUG
rnacentral:rRNA from 1 species